CAGAGCGCUACGCGAGGCUCAGUGCUUGAGGAGCGACGACAGCGGACAGUGGGCGCGUGUGAGCCGGACAUAACCUAACUUAUUGCAAUGACGAGCGGGAAGACUAGGACACGUAGAUAGUGUACUGUAUGUGAUAGUGACAUGUCUGCCUACACCCAGUUCGGCUACAGCUACAGCUCGCCUGCCACCCAGCUGUUGGUGUCGGGACAGCCGGCCAGCUCGGUGUCUCCACCGGCGGGGGCGGGGGCGAGUGGCGGCGGCAGCAGCGGCGUGUCCACGGGGGCGGUCUCACCCUCUGGGUCAGCCUCAGGGGCAGGCUCCUGUUGCGAGAACGGUCGCCCCAUCAUGACCGACCCCGUGUCCGGCCAGACCGUCUGCUCCUGCCAGUAUGACUCGGCCAGGUUAGCGCUAAGUUCCUACCCUCGGGCCGCUGCAGCAGUCUACGGCGCCCCCUACCCUUCCACCGAUCAGAACCCCUACCCCAGCAUUGACAGUUCGGCCUUCUACUCGCCCCUGAGUAACCCGUACGGGUUAAAAGAGGGCGGCACGACGGCGGACAUGACGGCCUGGACGAGUGCGGGCCUGCAACCCUCCACUGGGUAUUACCCUUACGACCCUACCCUGGCGGCUUACGGCUAUGGAGCUGGUUACGACUUGGCGGCGCGGCGGAAGAACGCGACGCGGGAGUCUACGGCGACGUUGAAGGCGUGGUUGAACGAGCACAAGAAGAACCCCUACCCGACGAAAGGCGAGAAGAUCAUGUUGGCCAUCAUUACCAAGAUGACGCUGACCCAAGUGUCAACGUGGUUCGCCAACGCGAGGAGACGACUCAAGAAGGAGAACAAGAUGACGUGGGAGCCCAAGAACAAAACCGAUGAUGACGAUGACGCCAUCAUCUCAGACUGUGAUGACAAGUCCAAGGACGAUUUACUGAUGGAUGAUGAUAAGAUUAAGGAUCACAGGAUGGGGAAAGACUCGAUGCUGCACGUGAAGGCAGAGCACCACCUAAAGGACCUGGAUGAUUCGGACGAUCUGGAGGAUGACGAGAGGAAAUCUGACCAUUUCCAUCACUCGUACCAUCCGCACAACCACCCGCACAACCAUCCUCACCACCACAACCACCUGAUGAUGAAGGGAGAGUUGGGAGGCCACAAGGACGACUGUGGGGUGCCACUGCCCGCGACUAAGCCGAAGAUCUGGUCAUUGGCGGACACCGCGGCUUGCAAGACGCCGCCUCCUCCGUCGUCGCAGCAGCCCUGGUGUGGGGCGGGGGGCUCCGGGAUGGGGGUGGGACUCAACGGGUUCGCUCUCCCUUCAGCGUCCGCCCCGUACUCUAGAUAUAGUGGGUUCUUCAACGGGGGACCUUCCGUUGGCUCCUCAGGGUUCCCCGAGGUCCAGACGGACACCCCACCUCAAACUCCCCCCAACAUGAAACUCCCGAGUGUGGCCGGAAAUUUGAUUCCCGCCCCCGGAAGCUGCUUCGCCGGAAGCAACGGGGUGGCGCCCCCUCACGCCCAGGGCGGUUACCCCCAACAACCCCCUCAGUUUGGGCAGUACCCCGCCCCUAGGCACCAGGAAAAGGAGAGACACGAGUACCUCCCGCCACAGCACCUAGGCUCCCAGCCGCCCCAGCCGACCCCUGAGGAGACCGCCUUCAAACCCUUCUAUAAAAAUUCUGGGAGUCUGAGCGGUGGCGGGUUCGUGUCCCCAGUGUAGUCUGUCGCUACCCGAGUCACAUCAUCAUCAUGAUCAUCAUCCUCCUUCGCGCCCUCAUUUACCAGAGGGGAAGAAGACUGCUGGGACGACCCCUAGAGUGCACUUAGUCGCACGACACGUACUGUUCUAGUCUUACGAACACCUAUCGUAUACGAACUUCACGCCCCUCACCGACCAUAUACGAUGCUACCACCACCAACCACCCCCGCCCUCGCCCCCCGUCUACCACAUCACUACUACUGCUCCACGAAAUCUGCGCCACCACAUUUGAUCUCAUCUACACUUCUUUGUUUUCUUCCCCAGGUUGUGCUGACACUUUUAGCGUUUUAGUGAUUACGUUGAAAACGCAACAAGACACUAUAUGUGAUUCAACCAAUUAAGGUUUAGGCCGAAAUUUAGUGUUGUACUUAUUUACCUCAUAGUUCUUGUUUGGUGGCGUUUUCAAAUGAAAUGUUAUUUAAAGAUUACCAAUAUGGUAUAUUGCAACAAGGGAAAAGUAGAACAUAUUUAAAAAAAGCUAAAUAACUGUUAAGUUUUUAUUAAAAGAUAUCAACACUAUUUUAAAUUUGUGAAUUGUUUUUUUAUUUAUUUAACAUUAUAAUAUAAAAACAAUUCUUGAUUGUACAACUAGUACAACAUAACUUUUCUUACAGAAAAACAUUUUAAGUGAACAAAAUUAUGUUAGUCAAGAAAUUAAGAACAUUAUUUAAUUUCACUAUGCAAGUAUAUAAUGUUAUAUUUGAACGUCCUAAUAAAUUUGGUCAAUAUUGAAAUCAGUUUAGAUUGAGAUAAAAAUUAAGUUCAGUUAUAUUUUGAUGCUGUAAAAUUAUUAACCGAUCACGCCAUGUAUUAGUUGUGUUAAGGCAGACUUUGUUAACUCUGUAAAUAGCUGAACGCAAAGGGCAAUGUGCAAAUGUGUAAAAUGUUUAUUGUAAAUACUAAUAUGACUAUUUAUUAGACCCUUUAGAACGAUUUUUAUCAACUUUAGGCACAAUUUAACACUGUAUUUUCUCAACUCUUUAUAUUUUGUAUAAAUCACAUCAAUUAUGUAAGUGUAAAUUGAUAUCUAGCUGUAACACUUCUUUUUCGAUAUAAGUUUUGGUGUAUUUUUAUACAAAUUUAGGAAUUUUGGAGUGUACACAGGAUGGAAGAGACACCAUCACCUCUGUCCCUCCCCCUAACAUCCAUUGUUCUAAGCCCGAGAUGCAUGUUUACUUAACCAACCCAAAAACGGGUGGAGAUCUCCACUAUUGCAUUGAUUUUUAAACAUUAAUUGAUGGCUCAAAGGGGUUACUGUGUUAAAGCUUAGAAAUAGCAAAAUCGGUAUUAUGAAAUAAGUUACAUCUUCCUUUACUCUAAAGAUGAAAGACAAAAAAUUCCGUUCAUGCCUAUAUACUCUUAUAAAUUGAGGGACUCACUUUAAUUUCUUAUGUUUAAAGUUAAGUCGUAUAAAUUAUAAAAAAAGUUCAGUUCCGUUUCAAAUACAUUUGUACAAUGUAAAUUUAAGAAAGGUAUAACUUUACAUCUGAAUUUGAAACUCAAAUUAUUCGAGGUUGAAGUGAAAAUAUCGGUCGCUGUUUCUUUACAAAACUCAAUACAAGUGGUUAUACUGUACUGUUCAUACUUCAUAAAUGGCAACACCCACCAUAGUAUAAAUGGAACAAUAAGGAAAUUUGUUACUUUAAUGUUAACACUGAUCAGCACAAAAAUUGUAAUACACAAAACAUAAAAUUAUAUAAGUGUUAAACGCCAAUUUUCAAAUGUACUAAAAUGAGGUUUGGUAAUUUAAAACUUGUAAAAUACCGUCAACAUCUUCAAGCACAUGCGAUGUUACUAUUUACAGCUAUUUACAUAAUCAUAUAAUAGCAGUGUUCAUAUUAUAGCACACAUUGAAUGCUUACUUAAGGAUACCACAGGCUAUUAUUUUAAAAGGCUUUAAUCGGUUCAGAUAAUAUACUUAGAGGACUCAUAAGUGAGAAGGCUUUGUGUAUAAACGCUGGCUGACUUGUGUCUAACAUGACUCAGCAGCAGCAGUGCACCGCCCCUGCAUUGAGCAUACCAUUCUUCUGACACAAUCGGGUUUAUAUUGUACGCGUAUCCCAAGUUCGUGAGGUUAAGUGGUAGAGAGGACUUUAUAGUCCUAACUUCGCCUGUAAUAAAAACAUUUUUCAUUUCAUUUCAUUUCAGUUCCGGCAUUCAAAUUCCUAGAAUGUUAUUAUGAUUGCUUAAUAGUAUGUCGUAUUAUUUGAAAAUCACGUUUGACCAGAUGAUUUAAAAAAAAUUUCACUGGAUUAUUUAAUGAGAAGGGAUAACGAUUCACAAAAUUUAUAAUUUUGAAUGUAAAUUUACAGUGGCAGAAAUCGUGAAAAUAAAAAAAAUACAAAUAAAUAAAAUAUCAUAAACAGACUGAAUCGGAUUUUCAAAAAGUGGUUUACAUAUUUUAGUUUGAGAGGGCAACUCCCAGGCAAUAUACAACUAUUCAAUAGAGUGACAUACUCAAAAUCGAUUUCCAUAGAAAAUCGAAAUGAUAAGAUCAGAUAAUACGGCCACGAUAAAAUCAACACGGAAACAAUGGAUGUGGUGAGCGUGACAUAGAUUGUUAGACAACAAAAAAUAACUAGGAUUAUUAAACACAAUCAGUAGUGAACAGUGGUCCGUGUCGCACAUACAUAACGGUUACUGCGGCAGCGACACGGACUUGUUUACACUUUGUUUACCUAGGAGAAACAGAGGAAUUAAACAGCUAUCGACGACACGUCACUGCACCAUGUCGCAUGUCGCUAGCUCGCUAGGUAGCUCGCUAGAUCAGGCGCUGAUGACCGCGCGGCUUGCAUGUUUACAUCAUGUAGCCCUUUACGGCUUCCGCCCGCUUGUGUUUACAUUUUAUUACUUUAGUAAAUGGCUUAUGUUCCGAGCUUCAAGGUUAUCAGAAGUCCCAGUCGCCGUUACCCAAAAAGUAAAAUUUAAUGUACAUUGAGUUCUCAAACAUUUAAAAUAUCUCAAACAGUACGAUAUUUUUCAAUUAGUUCACAAUUCUUGAAGCAAAGUGGGAAAUAAAAAUGGUUCAGCUGAUUUAUACUUUUGUGUUGCUACACCUGAUAGGUGUAUUAAAACACAAACACCACAAGCACGAUUAUAGUUUGUGUAGUACAAUAAGUCCCAGAGAAACUACUCCACCAGUAAUAUUGCGUGCAGUUGUUUGUGUACUGUACUUAGGUUUUAGGGUUUUUUUAAAGCUGGAACUUCUAUUUCAUAAGAUGUAAUUGUUAUUUUAAUAAAUAAAAUAAUAAUUGCAACUUUUAUUAAUUUGCGCUGGAUAUUAGUAGUCAUUGCACAAUCGAUUAAUCGGACCGUCGCAUGGAAUAUUGGACACAUUUCAAUCGGACGUUCUACGGUUUAAACGUUAAAAUAUUAAUUAACAAUGCAAAAGAAUUUCCAGAAAUCAUUCUAAAAUUUGCCUAAUGCCAACUUGAAGUAUGGCAAAAUCUUUUAUCUUAUACUUGGCUACCAUUUUACUUGUUGACACCAAGUAUUUUUAACAUCGUUAGGACAAAUAUGUUAUAGGUUUGUCUUAUUACACAGUCGAAAAAAAACGAGUGAGAGAUCAUAAUGAUAUUGGUUCCAAAAUUGGGUUAAAUUCACAUAUUCUUUGUUUUAAAUUGGAAAUAUUAAACCAGAAUCAUAUAGGAAACUGAAAAUGGCAUUUUUGUUUAAAUAUAACACUACAUAUUACAACAGAAUAACAAUUAACUAUUAAUGAUAAAUUAAAAUAGCCUUCACCACAUAACACAUUUAAUAACCCCCUGAGGUUUGAAAGUACAUUAUUAUGAUUUCAUCAGGGUAGAUAGUUUCAUAUUAACUAGAACAACCCUUGACAUCACGGUAUCGCUAAAAGUUAUGUCAAGCACUUUGACUAUGUAGACAACCUCUUUCAACAUUACUACCUGUUCUGGAAUAAAUUUGUAAUUUUAUUUCCAGCUGUUCUGUUUAGAAAUCACGAGAAAUAUUUUGUAUCUGUUAAUUAAUUCUACAUGUGUAUCAAGUUAAAAUUGUUACAAACAAACAAGACUAGUUAAAGAAGUUACAAACUAAUUGUCAACAACAUGUAAUAAAAACGUUGACAAGUAUACAUUUCCAAAAUCUGACAUAACAAACAUUUUGAAAACCGAAACGCUUUGAAACUAAGCACAAAUAAAAAAGACAAAAUAACUAUUUUUAAAACGUUCUGCACAAAGAGAUAAAAAUUCCAAUUCCAGUUCCCUAUCACUCCAAGAUAUAUAUUUAGCAAAUUCCAAUUCAUACAUUAUCUUUGAGUGAUUAAGUGUAGCAUGUUCCUGUUAAUAAAACGGAUUGAAUUGUUAUCACACAAACUAUUUUUUAUUAGGUCCUUAAUAGUUAAAUUUUACGGCAUCUUGUACAAAUUAACGUAAGACUUAUACGUUUUAAUUAUUAUAUGAUGUAAAUAUUUUAUCGAUUCUCUCAAAGUAAAUGUUAAAACAUGUUCUAAAUGUUUGUUUAAAUAUUUUUUGUUUUUGUUAAUAAUUUGAGAGGUUUUGUGUUGUAUAGUUUUAUUCCUCGAGUUCUGUACAUAUUAGACUUAACGAGAUUGUGUUGUGUGAAUAUGGUUCAAAUUAUUAUUAUAUUGUAAUUUCGAAAAUAUUAUUAUAAUUAUUAUUGACUUAUGAUAAAUAUUAUUAUAAAUAAACAUUAUCUGCGAAC
rnacentral:misc_RNA from 1 species